UCCCAUAUAGUGUAGUAGUUAGCAUACCAGGUUUUCACAUCCCUCUUGAAUCACCAAGAGACCGGAGAAAGACUUCCCUGGAGACCCGGGUUCAAUUCCCGGUGUGGGAA